AGAAACUUAGGCUAAUAAAGACCUAGAACCUUCAAAGUUCUCAGUAGGAGUUAAAUUCUUCUAGUUUCUG
rnacentral:tRNA from 2 species